rnacentral:tRNA from 1 species
UUCAGGAUGGCCGAAUGGUUAUGGCAUCGGACUUCUGUUCCGAUUGACGAUUGUGUCUGCAGGUUCAAUUCCUGCUCCUGGAC